AAGUCGUAACAAGGUUUCCGUAGGUGAACCUGCGGAAGGAUCAUUAGUGAAUUAAACAUGCUUGGUGUCUUCGCUUCGGCAAGGCCCUUGCUUAACUCACAUCCCAACACCUGUGAACUGUAAGGCGCAUGACUAGGUUCGCCCAAGUCAUCGUCUGCCCUUUUUAACAAACAAUUAAUGUAACAAACGUAGUCUUAUUAUAACCUAAUAAAACUUUCAACAACGGAUCUCUUGGCUCUCGCAUCGAUGAAGAACGCAGCGAAAUGCGAUAAGUAAUGUGAAUUGCAGAAUUCAGUGAAUCAUCGAAUCUUUGAACGCACCUUGCGCUCUUUGGUAUUCCGAAGAGCAUGCCUGUUUGAGUGUCGUGAAAAUAUCAACCUUGACUUGGGUUUUGUGCUCUAGUCUCGGCUUGGAAUUGGGUGCUUGCCGCUUUUACGAGCGGCUCACCUUAAAUGUAUUAGCUGGAUCUGUCUUUGAGACUUGGUUUGACUUGGCGUAAUAAGUAUUUCGCUAAGGACAUUCUUCGGAGUGGCCUCGUUUCUAGGACGCUUGUCCGCUUUCCAAUACAAGUUCCACCUCGUGGACAUGACUUUUUAUUAUCUGGCCUCAAAUCAGGUAGGACUACCCGCUGAACUUAAGCAUAUCAAUAAGCGGAGGAAAAGAAACUAACAAGGAUUCCCCUAGUAACGGCGAGUGAAGCGGGAAAAGCUCAAAUUUGAAAUCUGGCAGCCUCAGGUUGUCCGAGUUGUAAUCUAUAGAAACGUUUUCCGCGCUGGCCCAUGUACAAGUCCCUUGGAAUAGGGCGUCAUAGAGGGUGAGAAUCCCGUCCUUGACACGGACCACCAGUGCUUUGUGAUACGUUUUCAAC
rnacentral:sRNA from 1 species